AAGGUCCUCCCGUUUGGUGACCAGCGGAGGGAUCAUUACCGAGUUUACAACUCCCAAACCCCUGUGAACAUACCAAUUGUUGCCUCGGCGGAUCAGCCCGCUCCCGGUAAAACGGGACGGCCCGCCAGAGGACCCCUAAACUCUGUUUCUAUAUGUAACUUCUGAGUAAAACCAUAAAUAAAUCAAAACUUUCAACAACGGAUCUCUUGGUUCUGGCAUCGAUGAAGAACGCAGCAAAAUGCGAUAAGUAAUGUGAAUUGCAGAAUUCAGUGAAUCAUCGAAUCUUUGAACGCACAUUGCGCCCGCCAGUAUUCUGGCGGGCAUGCCUGUUCGAGCGUCAUUUCAACCCUCAAGCCCCCGGGUUUGGUGUUGGGGAUCGGCGAGCCCUUGCGGCAAGCCGGCCCCGAAAUCUAGUGGCGGUCUCGCUGCAGCUUCCAUUGCGUAGUAGUAAAACCCUCGCAACUGGUACGCGGCGCGGCCAAGCCGUUAAACCCCCAACUUCUGAAUGUUGACCUCGGAUCAGGUAGGAAUACCCGCUGAACUUAAGCAUAUCAAUAGCCGGAGGAAA
rnacentral:rRNA from 1 species